GACGAACGCUGGCGGCGUGCUUAACACAUGCAAGUCGAACGAAGUGGCGAACGGGUGAGUAAUACGUGAGUAACUGCCCUCCUUUUUGGGAUAAGCCUUGGAAACGGGGUCUAAUACCGAAUAAAGGGGGAUGGGUCGGGGCCUAUCAGCUUGUUGGUGGGGUGAUGGCCUUCCAAGGCGGUGCCGGGUAGCCGGCCUGGGAGGUGGAACGGCGACAUGGGGCUGAGAGACGGCCCAAAGUCCUACGGGGGGCAGCAGGGGCGAAUAUUGCACAGUGGGGGCAACCCUGAGGCAGCAACGCCGCGUGCGGGAUGACGGCCUUCGGGUUGUAAACCGCUUUCAGCCAUGACGCGGUAGUGGCAGAAGAAGCACCGGCUAACUACGUGCCAGCCGCCGCGGUAAUAC
rnacentral:rRNA from 1 species